UUAGGGGACUGCGGAGACAUUAAUGAAUCUUGAGAGGGGUUGUAGCUGGCCUUUUCGUUUGAGAGGCAUUUUGUGCACACCCUGAUCAUUAUCCAUUCUCACACCUGUGCACACACUGUAGGAUUGGCUGUUGGGAGUGGAGUCUACUUUGAUUUCACUUCGUGGCCAUUCCUAUGUUUUAUCACACACUACUAUGUUUAAAGAAUGUCAUCUGCGUUUAACGCAUUUAUAUACAACUUUCAGCAACGGAUCUCUUGGCUCUCGCAUCGAUGAAGAACGCAGCGAAAUGCGAUAAGUAAUGUGAAUUGCAGAAUUCAGUGAAUCAUCGAAUCUUUGAACGCACCUUGCGCUCCUUGGUAUUCCGAGGAGCAUGCCUGUUUGAGUGUCAUGAAAUUCUCAACUCUAUUCACUUUUGUGACUAGAGCUUGGAUUUGGAGGCUUUUUGCUGGACACCAUAGUGUUCGGCUCCUCUUGAAUUUAUUAGCUUGAGCCCUUGAGUGGAUCAGCUCUGGUGUGAUAAUUGUCUACGCCGUGCUGUGACACGCUAUGUAUCAGGGUUUGGCUUCCAACUGUCUGUAAGUAGACAAUGAACUUGACUUUUGACCUCAAAUCAGGUAGGGUUACCCGCUGAACUUAAGCAUAUCAAAA
rnacentral:rRNA from 1 species